rnacentral:rRNA from 1 species
UACGUAGGGGGCGAGCGUUGUCCGGAUUUACUGGGCGUAAAGCGCGUGUAGGCGGUCCCUUUAGUCGGGUGUGAAAGCCCGGGGCUCAACCCCGGGACGCCGCCCGAUACUGGGGGACUUGAGGACGGAAGAGGGGAGUGGAAUUCCUGGUGUAGCGGUGAAAUGCGUAGAUAUCAGGAGGAACACCCGUGGCGAAGGCGGCUCCCUGGUCCGUUUCUGACGCUGAGACGCGAAAGCGCGGGGAGCGAACGGG